rnacentral:piRNA from 1 species
UACAUUAAAAUACUAAGUCCGAGUGCCC